AACGAACGCUGGCGGCAGGCCUAACACAUGCAAGUCGAACGCUCCGCAAGGGGAGUGGCAGACGGGUGAGUAACACGUGGGAAUCUUCCUAUUGGUACGGAAUAGCUCAGGGAAACUUGGGGUAAUACCGUAUAAGCCCGUGAGGGGAAAGAUUUAUCGCCGAUAGAUGAGCCCGCGUCUGAUUAGCUAGUUGGUGAGGUAACGGCUCACCAAGGCGACGAUCAGUAGCUGGUCUGAGAGGAUGACCAGCCACACUGGGACUGAGACACGGCCCAGACUCCUACGGGAGGCAGCAGUGGGGAAUAUUGGACAAUGGGCGCAAGCCUGAGCCAGCCAUGCCGCGUGAGUGACGAAGGUCUUCGGAUUGUAAAGCUCUUUUGCCAGGGACGAUAAUGACGGUACCUGGAGAAUAAGCCCCGGCUAACUUCGUGCCAGCAGCCGCCGUAAAAC
rnacentral:rRNA from 1 species